rnacentral:misc_RNA from 1 species
AAGUCGUAACAAGGUUUCCGUAGGUGAACCUGCGGAAGGAUCAUUACAGAGUAUGGUUGGGGUUCGCCCUGGCAUACCCGUCCUUAUGUCAUUUACGUCAUUCCUCUCACAGAAGUGUGGAAGUGCAAAGACGAACGUUUAACUUCGGUUGAGGUGUUCGGUUGCCUGGAGGUGAAUCACCAAAAGGGACAGGACCGCGGCCGGUCGGCCUCGAGAGAGUGCUGAUUUUUACAACUCUUUUUGAAAGAUUUAUGAAGUCUGAACAAAUUGAUAAAUGAAAAGCAAAACUUUCAACAACGGAUCUCUUGGCUCUG